rnacentral:rRNA from 1 species
UACGGAGGGUGCGAGCGUUGUUCGGAAUCACUGGGCGUAAAGCGCGUGUAGGCGGCCCAUUAAGUCUGAUGUGAAAGCCCGGGGCUCACCCCCGGAAGUGCAUUGGAUACUGAUGGACUCGAGUCCCGGAGAGGAGAGUGGAAUUCCUGGUGUAGCGGUGAAAUGCGUAGAUAUCUGGAGGAACACCGGUGGCGAAGGCGACGUCCUGGACCGGCAUUGACGCUGAGGCGCGAAAGCCAGGGGAGCAAACGGG